UGUUUUCCAUAAUGAUUCUUGUCUUGUUCUUGCUCUUGUGGUAGUGUACCAUGCUCUAUGGUGGUAGAGGAAUGCAGGUUCAAGGACAACUUGACCUGCAUACUUUUAUUAGAAUUGGUUAGAGACUUUGAGACAAAUUCUUGCCUCGAAGAUAAGGAGUUAGAAUACCAGAGUUUAGAUUCCAAGAGAUGAGUGAAGAUAUUAUAGUUUAAUGGAAAUUUUCUUGGGGUGAAGAAACUUUCAAGAAGGAUGUUUCAAGAUCAAUGGUUCAUUAAGAAGAAAGGUUUGAUCAUUAGUUGGGGUGAGAGAUCUCAAGCAUUGAAGGAAGGAGUAUGUCAAGAUGUCAAUUUGGUGUGAAAAGGUGAGGAUAGAGAAUUAGGAGCACGGUGAAUGAGGAACAAAGAAGAAAGGUUUUAGAACAGAUGACAAGGGGUGGUUGCAGUAUAAGAUGUGAAAGAGGGUAUCGGAAAUGACUAGAGAAUUUGAGUUGGUGGAGGUGUUCAGAGUUAUGAAGUUGCAUGUUAUGGUAAAGUCAAUUUUCAUCGGGUGAGGCUUCAUGGUGAUGUUCAGGGUUCAACGGAGUUUGAUCAAGAGAUAAGUGGAUGUGGGAUGAUGGAUUGUAGAAGGCAGUGAGUUAGAAAGUUCAGAUAAGGUUAGAGGAUUGAUGUUGCUGGUUAAGGGUAUCUUGAGGUUAAGAGGAUUAAAGAUAAGGUCUGUAUUUCUAAAGAUUGUGAGUUGAAGAGGACAAUUCUGGAAGAAGAAGGUUUUAAUUUAAUUUGGAAGGGAAGGAAAGCGAAGGUGGUGCGUCAAGUACAGUUGAGCGAAGGGUGAAAGCAAGUGCGAUAAGAAUCCAAGAAGUCUGUUGAAUGAAAGUGAAGAAGAGAUGAUGUUAUUCUUCCGUAAAUUUUGAGGUGUAAUUAUCAAGGGAGGUUUGUUCGUCUUCAAACCGUUUUAGGAGGUCACGCAGUAGAAGUCAGUCAAGUUUGAAGGUGAAGACAAAGGGUUGUGGAAGUCAAAAUAGUUUAGCAAAGUUAAGCAAAGAAAAGAAGAUGGAUCUUCUAGUAAAAAGGUUUUGGUUAGUGUUCUGCAACAAGUAUGAGAAUUUUAUACCUUAGAGAAGUGGUGCUCACUUUGGAAUGGCGUCUAAGGAGAAUCGGUGUCAGUAAUAUCUUUAUGGAUGUUUCCCGUUAAAGUUGUGUAGUACAAGAAGAAGGUGGAAGUUGGGUUAGGGGAGCAGUGUUUGGACUUUGGACUCAGUAUAAUCAUAGAAAGAACUACAAGGUUAAAGAAUCUCAGAAGAGAAGUUUUGAGACAGGUUGGAAUAUUCUAGUUUAAGUCUUAGAAAUCAGGAAUGAGUUCAAGCAUGUACAUUUUUCUAAGAGUAGAGAUAAUGUUGAGGGAAUGGAACGACAAGGUUAUCGUGGAAGAGAAGAGUCCUCAGGGUUUUUGGAAGACCAUAAAAGUUUGAAGAAGGUAUUCGAGGGUGAACUUUCUGGUUACAAUUGUCAUGAAGGAAGUGUUAUUAUCAAUGAACGAUUGAGUAAGGAAAUAUGAGGAUCAGAGUAGCGUAGCGGAUGAUGAUGGGCAUGCCAUUAUCAGUAAAGAGGUAUGCAUGAAGAGUUGUCUUAAUCAAAUGUCGGUAGUUUGGGUAGUGAUGUCUUUGUCUGAGUAUGAAUUGACAAUGUGUAGUGAUCUUCUAAAAUCAGAAGUGAGUUAUGCACACAGAAAAGGGGAAAGAGAUAAAGGAGACAAAGUUAGUCUACGGUUUCAGGUUAAAGUGAGAGAGUAUUAGCGGACGAUGAACAGAGUAAGUGGGUCAAGGGAUCAAGGAAGAUGAGGUGAGAUAUGAUUUCAAGUUAUGGUGUCAAUCUAGAGGUAAGGAAUGUUAACAUAUGGUUUGAACAAAGAGAAGAUUCAGGUUCGUGGUUUGAUAAGGAUUGAGUAAGAGUUGGUUGAAGAAUAUGAAGAUUGGGGUCUCCAGUGAAGCUUUAAAGUGAUUUCAUUAGCNUAGUUGAAUGCUAUAACUAGUGGGUUUUUCAAAAGGGUGGAGAAAGNGCAGUCUGGACAAUCCUAGUUUGAGAUGUAUCAUAAGUUGACUUGAUGCUGAUCAAGCUAGUGAUCUCGAGUCAAGGAGGUUGCAGAUCUAAGUAUGAAUUGCCGGUUAGUGAGUCAAGGAUUACUUAUGGUUCAGGUCAGAAAAAUGAUGAAGUGAAGUUGGAUUGCUCAAAUUGGUCUUGACGUUACUAAGGAGAAGAAUUUUACUUUGGUAAUGAGACGAUAUAGUUGGAAACUACGCUACUCAAGAGUGGAGAUCAGUAAGGCAUUGAGAAAUCCUCAGAAUGAGUGUGGUGGUAAGUGAUCAAGAGAAUAACAAUUGGUAGUCAAAUCAGAAGUGAUAGUGAUCAAGUUAGUGGUAGGGUGGCUCUUAGAAGACACAAGUGGAGGUAAAAGGUUAUCAGUCAAGGGUUAAUCUGAAGUGAAGGUUGGCAGAAGUUUUAGAAGAGAAUUUUAGGGAGUAGCGAAGGAUGGAUGAGUGAUUAUCAGUGUGGCAGACACUCCAGAGCGAGAUGGGUAGCAAAUUUCAGAUGAGUUCAGCAUAUCAUCCUCANACAAAUGACCAGUCCGAGAGANNAUCCAAUCACUUGAUGNUUUGUUGAGGACGUGUAUCCUGGAUCAUUUGGGAGUCUGGGAUGAGGUGUUACCAUUGGUUGAGUUCACUUAUAACAACAGUUACCAAGCUAGC
rnacentral:lncRNA from 1 species